rnacentral:lncRNA from 1 species
GAAGUGAAGUCUAUAUAUCAUCAAGUCUUGUUUGCAACCAACAACAUAAAUACAACACAACACAGUGGUUUAAAGUUUAAACUCAAUCACGCUACCACCUCUGUAACCCUUAGCUAUUGAAGUAUCUACUAUCUGUGAAAAAAAUGGCACACAACAUUAGCAAGAGCACAACAAUGAUCUUGUUGAUGGUCUUAGUGGUGGGGCUUAUGUUUGCUGCUGAAGUCAUAGCACAGGAUGUGACAGCACCAGCACCAGCACCAGCCCCCGAAAAGGACACCGGAGCUGGGUCUUUGGUAACUUACUCUGGUGUAUUUGUUUGCUUCUCACUGUUCCUCUCUUUCCUUUCCCUUCUCCGCCAUUAAAUUUUUCUACUGGAUAAAACAUAUCUACUGUAUUUUUCUUCUAUUCAUGCAAUCAGAAUCAUUGUUAUUGUAUCAUCUUAUUCUUCUACCCUAUUUAUUGGUUAUGAUGUGACUCAUUAAAUGAAUUUAUUUAUGCAACAUGCUAUAUAUGUAUAUAAUUUGAGUCUUAAUUUUUUAAUAUUUCUUAUAUGUAGCUUAAUUCUUAACAAUACUAUUUGCAAU